rnacentral:tRNA from 1 species
UAUAGGGAGACCUAUUUACUCUUAGACUGAAGCAAUACAGAAUUAGGUCAGGAGUAAGUCAUCCCAAGGUCGAACGAAGUUUAUUGGAAAGCUUUCAGACUAAGUCAGGUUCUAAAUUUGGCUAACAAAAAGGGCCAUUAGCUCAGUUGGUUAGAGCGCACCCCUGAUAAGGGUGAGGUCACUGGUUCGUGUCCAGUAUGGCCCACUUGAGUACAAGGAAAAAGGGAAAAGGAAAAAGGAAAAACUUAAUUAAGAGUCUUCACUUUUUACUUUUUACUUCUGACUUUUUACUUGACAAUCUGGGGAUAUAGCUCAGUUGGUAGAGCGCCUGCUUUGCACGCAGGAAGUCAGGAGUUCGAAUCUCCUUAUCUCCACCAAACUACUAACGAUAGACCAACAAAAGCGAAAGCAAGAGUUUAGCAACUCAUCUAGUCAGGUAAGCACCGGAAACUAGAGAGACUGCUAAAUUCUAGCGAGAGCAAGAAUUUAGAAAGAACCUUGAAAACUGCAUAGUAAAAAAGUAACGAAAGAAGCAAGUAGAACCGAAGUAGAGAUACAGA